rnacentral:lncRNA from 10 species
GUAGGCUGUGUCUUGCUAAUUGAGAGGGAUUCUGAGAAGUGGAGCAGCCCUGCCUCACUAGAUUCAGUAAGAGGAGGCCUUAUAGGUACGUUGAAUCUGGCCUGGUGGACAAAGCACCCUGCUGAGAGCUGGGCAGGUCUUCGGAAGGAGAUUUAAUGUUCUUCAGUAGGAAACAUGGUAAUUCCUCUCUCCCUCUCCAGAUGUCUGCAACCAAGUCAUUAUAACACAGAAGGGACCUUGCAGCCAUUGUGUCUUUGUGCUCAGGUUCUGAUUUGCAUUUUAAUGAGAUCCUUCUGGCUGCUGUGUUGAAAGUGGACUGGAAGUGGCAAAGAUGGAAAGACAGACCAAUCAGGAGGCUAUUGUGGUAAUCCAGGGUAUUGCAGUAAUCAUCUGAAGGGUCAUCAUGGAGAAGAGGCGGCACCUUAAGGACAGCAGUGACAAUCUCUGAUGUGGCAAUUACAUAAG